GCCAGUGUGGUGUAAUGGUUUGAGAUACUCUGACUCCAGACUAUGACUCUGGAAAUCAGGGUUCAAAUCCUCACUCAGUCA